rnacentral:misc_RNA from 1 species
AAGUAUUCUUCGGUGCAGCCAGCGCUUCCACAGCGCGGCAGCCCAAACCUUACACACUGUGAUUAGUUUUUUUACUAUUUACUUGGCUGCGCAAGUGGCCAAAGGUCUUAAACACAAAGAUUUAUAUCUUUUUUUACAAAAUUUAGUCAAUGAAGUUUUAAUACUAUAAUCUUCA